rnacentral:rRNA from 1 species
GACGAACGCUGGCGGCGUGCCUAAUACAUGCAAGUCGAACGCAGUGGGGACGGGUGAGUAACACGUGGGUAACCUCCCAUCAGAGGGGAUAACACUAGGAAACAGGUGCUAAACCGUUACUGAAGGAUGGACCCGCGGUGGAUUAGCUAGUUGGGGAGGUAACGGCUCACCAAGGCCACGAUGAGUAGCCGGCCUGAGAGGAUGAACGGCCACACUGGGACUGAGACACGGCCCAGACUCCUACGGGAGGCAGCAGUAGGGAAUCUUCGGCAAUGGACGAAAGUCUGACGAAGCAACGCCGCGUGAGUGAAGAAGGUUUUCGGAUCGUAAAGCUCUGUUAAAAGAGAAGCGGUACCUUACUAGAAAGGGACGGCUAACUACGUGCCAGCAGCCGCGGUAAUAC